rnacentral:rRNA from 1 species
GGUUUAAUUCGAAGCAACGCGAAGAACCUUACCAGGUCUUGACAUCCCGAUGCUAUUUCUAGAGAUAGAAGUUACUUCGGUACAUCGGUGACAGGUGGUGCAUGGUUGUCGUCAGCUCGUGUCGUGAGAUGUUGGGUUAAGUCCCGCAACGAGCGCAACCCCUAUUGUUAGUUGCCAUCAUUCAGUUGGGCACUCUAGCGAGACUGCCGGUAAUAAACCGGAGGAAGGUGGGGAUGACGUCAAAUCAUCAUGCCCCUUAUGACCUGGGCUACACACGUGCUACAAUGGUUGGUACAACGAGUUGCGAGUCGGUGACGGCGAGCUAAUCUCUUAAAGCCAAUCUCAGUUCGGAUUGUAGGCUGCAACUCGCCUACAUGAAGUCGGAAUCGCUAGUAAUCGCGGAUCAGCACGCCGCGGUGAAUACGUUCCCGGGCCUU